rnacentral:rRNA from 1 species
UACGUAGGGUGCAAGCGUUGUCCGGAAUUAUUGGGCGUAAAGAGCUUGUAGGCGGUUUGUCGCGUCUGCUGUGAAAUUUCGGGGCUCAACCCCGAACUUGCAGUGGGUACGGGCAGACUAGAGUGUGGUAGGGGAGACUGGAAUUCCUGGUGUAGCGGUGAAAUGCGCAGAUAUCAGGAAGAACACCCGUGGCUAAGGCGGCUCUCUAGUACGGUACUGACGCUGAGACGCGAAAGCGUGGGGAGCAAACAGG